CCUACGGGUGGCAGCAGUGAGGAAUAUUGGUCAAUGGACGGAAGCCUGAACCAGCCAAGUCGCGUGAGGGAUUAAGGCCCUGCGGGUCGUAAACCGCUUUUGCCCGGGGGCAAACGUCCGGACGUGUCCGGGCCGGGAAAGUACCCGGAGAAAAAGCAUCGGCUAACUCCGGGCAAGCAGCCGCGGUAAUACGGGGGAUGCGAGCGUUAUCCGGAUUUAUGGGGUUUAAGGGGUGCGUAGGCGGGCAUUUAAGUCGGCGGGCAAAUGUCGGGGCUCAACUCCGGACUGCCGGUGGAACUGGUCGCCUUGAGAGGGCGUGAGGUAUGCGGAAUGUGUGGUGUAGCGGUGAAAUGCAUAGAGAUCACACAGAACCCCGAUUGCGAAGGCAGCAUACCGGCGCCCUUCUGACGCUGAGGCACGAAAGUGCGGGGAGCGAACAGGAUUAGAUACCCCGGUAGUC
rnacentral:rRNA from 1 species